rnacentral:tRNA from 1 species
GUGGUUGUGGCUCAGUGGUAGAGUGCUUGCCUAGCAUGUGUGAGACAUUGGGUUUGAUCCCCAGCACCACA